AUCGGGGAGUUAGCGGUGCCCUGUACCUGCAAUCCGCUAUAGCAGGGAUGAUGCCCUUUUUGAGGACUGAACUUGUAUGGCCGGAUUUUGUAAGUGGUGUUAACGGCCAGGUCUUACGCAACAUAAACCCGUGAACCUCGUCAGGUGGGGAACCAAGCAGCGAUAAGCGGAUCUUUGUGUGUGCCGUGAGAGUGCCUGGCAUCAGCCGGCUGCAAAAAUACCGCAUAUAAGCGCUGCUUCGAGG
rnacentral:SRP_RNA from 1 species